rnacentral:rRNA from 1 species
GGGCAAUCUGCCCUGCACUCUGGGACAAGCCCUGGAAACGGGGUCUAAUACCGGAUACUGACCCGCUUGGGCAUCCAAGCGGUUCGAAAGCUCCGGCGGUGCAGGAUGAGCCCGCGGCCUAUCAGCUUGUUGGUGAGGUAAUGGCUCACCAAGGCGACGACGGGUAGCCGGCCUGAGAGGGCGACCGGCCACACUGGGACUGAGACACGGCCCAGACUCCUACGGGAGGCAGCAGUGGGGAAUAUUGCACAAUGGGCGAAAGCCUGAUGCAGCGACGCCGCGUGAGGGAUGACGGCCUUCGGGUUGUAAACCUCUUUCAGCAGGGAAGAAGCGAAAGUGACGGUACCUGCAGAAGAAGCGCCGGCUAACUACGUGCCAGCAGCCGCGGUAAUACGUAGGGCGCAAGCGUUGUCCGGAAUUAUUGGGCGUAAAGAGCUCGUAGGCGGCUUGUCACGUCGGUUGUGAAAGCCCGGGGCUUAACCCCGGGUCUGCAGUCGAUACGGGCAGGCUAGAGUUCGGUAGGGG